rnacentral:lncRNA from 1 species
AAGCUUUUUGCUGGAUUACAAAGUCUUCUCUGGUCGUGGCCACGGUCUGUCUACCCCACUCAGCGCCCGCCCUGUGUCCACACAUGCUUGUCAGACUGGACUGAGGAAGCCCACAACUGGGCCUCUCAGUUUCCGGGUCCAAUCUAAGCUACCAGACCAGCUCUGCCAAACCAGAGGCCCAGAUGGGAUCUGCCACUCCAGCCACUGUGAGCAGCUUUGGUUUCAGCCCAAAUGCCAGGACUCGAGAAGUGUCGACAAGGUUGAGGUUCCGGGAUACAUGUGCAGAACAUGCAGGUUUGUUACAUAGGUAAACAUGUGCCAUGGUGGUUUGCUGUACCUAUCAACCCAUUAUGUCCUCCACUUCUUCCACCUUGGCUACCCCUGAGAUAGCAAGACCAAUCCUUCCUCUUCUUCCUCCUUCUCAGUCUACACAACAAGAAGACGACAAGGAUGAAGGCCUUUAUCAUGACUCACUUCCAUUCAAUGAAUAAUACAGAAGCUUCUGAGAGGUAACUGACCCAAAGUUACAAAGCCAAUUAAAGUGGUAAAAAUUGGACCCUACUCAG